rnacentral:rRNA from 1 species
GACGAACGCUGGCGGCGUGCCUAAUACAUGCAAGUCGAGCGCAGGAAAUCGGCGGAACCCUUCGGGGGGAAGUCGACGGAAUGAGCGGCGGACGGGUGAGUAACACGUAAAGAACCUGCCCUCAGGUCUGGGAUAACCACGAGAAAUCGGGGCUAAUACCGGAUGGGUCAUCGGACCGCAUGGUCCGAGGAUGAAAGGCGCUCCGGCGUCGCCUGGGGAUGGCUUUGCGGUGCAUUAGCUAGUUGGUGGGGUAAUGGCCCACCAAGGCGACGAUGCAUAGCCGACCUGAGAGGGUGAUCGGCCACACUGGGACUGAGACACGGCCCAGACUCCUACGGGAGGCAGCAGUAGGGAAUCUUCCACAAUGGACGAAAGUCUGAUGGAGCAACGCCGCGUGAACGAUGAAGGCCUUCGGGUUGUAAAGUUCUGUUGUAAGGGAAGAACAAGUGCCGCAGGCAAUGGCGGCACCUUGACGGUACCUUGCGAGAAAGCCACGGCUAACUACGUGCCAGCCGCCGCUGUAAAAC